rnacentral:rRNA from 1 species
AGAGUUUGAUCCUGGCUCAGGAUGAACGCUGGCGGUCUGCUUAACACAUGCAAGUCGGACGGAGUAGAAAUACUUAGUGGCGGACGGGUGAGUAACGCGUGAGAAUCUGCCUUCAGGACGGAGACAACAGUUGGAAACGACUGCUAAGCCCCGAUGAACCGAAAGGGAAAAUAUUUAUAGCCUGAAGAUGAGCUCGCGUCCGAUUAGCUAGUUGGAGAGGUAAAAGCUCACCAAGGCGACGAUCGGUAGCUGGUCUGAGAGGACGAUCAGCCACACUGGGACUGAGACACGGCCCAGACUCCUACGGGAGGCAGCAGUGGGGAAUUUUCCGCAAUGGGCGAAAGCCUGACGGAGCAAGACCGCGUGGGGGAAGAAGGCUCUUGGGUUGUAAACCUCUUUUCUUGGGGAAGAAAAAAAUGACGGUACCCAAGGAAUCAGCAUCGGCUAACUCCGUGCCAGCAGCCGCGGUAAUACGGAGGAUGCAAGCGUUAUCCGGAAUUAUUGGGCGUAAAGCGUCCGCAGGUGGCACUUCAAGUCUGCUGUCAAAGGUCGGGGCUUAACCCCGGGAAGGCAGUGGAAACUGAAGCGCUAGAGUGUCGUAGGGGUAGAGGGAAUUCCCGGUGUAGCGGUGAAAUGCGUAGAGAUCGGGAAGAACAUCGGUGGCGAAGGCGCUCUGCUGGACCAUAACUGACACUCAGGGACGAAAGCUAGGGGAGCGAAUGGGAUUAGAUACCCCCGUAGUCC